GGAGUCUGGGCCGUGUCUCAGUCCCAAUGUGGCCGUCCGCCCUCUCAGGCCGGCUACUGAUCGUCGCUUCGGUGGGCCGUUACCCCGCCGACUGGCUAAUCAGAUGCGGAUCCAUUCCAUCCCGAUAAAUCUUUUCACUCCGCAGGAUGCCCUGCUGUGCGCUUAUGCGGUAUUACCAGCCGUUUCCAGCUGCUAUCCCCCUGGAUGGACCAGGUUAUCCACACGUUACUCACCCGUCCGCCACUAAGUAUAUACAAGAUUCUCUCUAUGCAAGCACUUCGAUCAUCAGCGCAUAUACUCCGUUCGACUUGCAUGUGUUAGGCACGCCGCCAGCGUUCAUC
rnacentral:rRNA from 1 species